UACAACGCUGCCAAAGCUACUGGCCCGAGCACGAGGCUUGUUCUCGUUGAUCAUUUGCACGCGUGCUCGCGCGAACGAAACCAUAGACAAAGCCACGUGCUCGCGCCAGCAGCUUUGGCAGCGUUGCAUACUAAGUAU
rnacentral:pre_miRNA from 1 species